CCGCAACAAAGAAAGCUCUGAAGAUUCUUUGCUGAUCGCCGGAGGAGAAGUGAUGCGCUUCAGAUCGACUCAAUUUUGCUCUGGAUGUGCAAGUAAAAAUGGUAAAACCUUCAUUCCCAGGUAGGGGCAGAACAUCGAAUGUUUGUGCAGCCGCGCGAGGGCGACUACAUUGUGGAUGGCCUUAGUUGUCAGUUUUAACUCUUGGCAAAGUUAUUUGAUCGCAAUUUAAUAAGGACAUUCGUAGUGUGGCCGCAAAUGCGAUUGCACUCGGAAGGAUAUAGGCAGGUCGAGAUGCCAACAUCUCUUUUCUUUUUGUAAUUGAAUUUAAUAUGAAAAAUUAUCUAAACUAUAAUCUGAUCUAAAUUUUAAAA